GGAGCUAACGCGUUAAGUCGACCGCCUGGGGAGUACGGCCGCAAGGUUAAAACUCAAAUGAAUUGACGGGGGCCCGCACAAGCGGUGGAGCAUGUGGUUUAAUUCGAUGCAACGCGAAGAACCUUACCUGGUCUUGACAUAGUAAGAACUUUCCAGAGAUGGAUUGGUGCCUUCGGGAACCGUGAGACAGGUGCUGCAUGGCUGUCGUCAGCUCGUGUCGUGAGAUGUUGGGUUAAGCCCCGCAACGAGCGCAACCCUCGUUCUAUGUUGCCAGCACGUGAUGGUGGGGACUCAUAGGAGACUGCCGGGGUCAACUCGGAGGAAGGUGGGGAUGACGUCAA
rnacentral:rRNA from 1 species